CUGGGACAAUGUGGCUGUGUUAGUUGAUGAAACACUUAUACCACAAGAGCUGUGUAGCCCGAUCCUACAGACCCCAACACACCAGAACAUAAAACAAAAGGUCCUUCUAAUAAGGAAUAAGAACGUUGGAAACAGACAAUCCGUUCCUGAACAAAGGAUCCGUAAGGGUGAUGGCUACUCGAUAGCACAUAGGGCUGAAAUCAACCAUGAU